rnacentral:misc_RNA from 1 species
GAUGAAGAACGCAGCGAAAUGCGAUAAGUAAUGUGAAUUGCAGAAUUCAGUGAAUCAUCGAAUCUUUGAACGCACAUUGCGCCCGCCAGUAUUCUGGCGGGCAUGCCUGUUCGAGCGUCAUUUCAACCAUCAAGCCCCCGGGCUUGUGUUGGGGACCUGCGGCUGCCGCAGGCCCUAAAAACCAGUGGCGGGCUCGCUAGUCACUCCGAGCGUAGUAGUUACAUCUCGCUCAGGGCGUGCUGCGGGUUCCGGCCGUUAAAAGCCUUUUACCCCAAGGUUGACCUCGGAUCAGGUAGGAAGACCCGCUGAACUUAAGCAUAUCAAUAAGCGGAGGA